GACGAACGCUGGCGGCGUGCUUAACACAUGCAAGUCGUACGGUAAGGCCCUUUCGGGGGUACACGAGUGGCGAACGGGUGAGUAACACGUGAGUAACCUGCCCACAACUUUGGGAUAACGCUAGGAAACUGGUGCUAAUACUGGAUAUGUGCUCCUGCCGCAUGGUGGGGGUUGGAAAGCUCCGGCGGUUGUGGAUGGACUCGCGGCCUAUCAGCUUGUUGGUGGGGUAGUGGCCUACCAAGGCGGCGACGGGUAGCCGGCCUGAGAGGGUGACCGGCCACAUUGGGACUGAGAUACGGCCCAGACUCCUACGGGAGGAAGCAGUGGGGAAGAUUGCACAAUGGGCGCAAGCCUGAUGCAGCAACGCCGCGUGCGGGAGGACGGCCUUCGGGUUGUAAACCGCUUUCAGCAGGGACGAAGCUUUUUGUGACGGUACCUGCAGAAGAAGCACCGGCUAACUACGUG
rnacentral:rRNA from 1 species